rnacentral:rRNA from 1 species
UACGUAGGCAGCAAGCGUUGUUCGGAGUUACUGGGCGUAAAGGGUGUGUAGGCGGUUCUUUAAGUUUGGUGUGAAAUCUCCCGGCUCAACCGGGAGGGUGCGCCGAAUACUGAGGGACUCGAGUGCGGGAGAGGAAAGUGGAAUUCCUGGUGUAGCGGUGAAAUGCGUAGAUAUCAGGAGGAACACCUGUGGUGUAGACAGCUUUCUGGACCAUAGCUGACGCUGAGACACGAAAGCGUGGGUAGCAAACAGG